rnacentral:rRNA from 1 species
UGGGGAAUAUUGCGCAAUGGGCGAAAGCCUGACGCAGCGACGCCGCGUGAGGGAUGAAGGUUUUCGGAUCGUAAACCUCUGUCAGAAGGGAAGAAACCGCACUGUGCUAAUCAGCAGUGCCUUGACGGUACCUUCAAAGGAAGCACCGGCUAACUCCGUGCCAGCAGCCGCGGUAAUACGGAGGGUGCAAGCGUUAAUCGGAAUUACUGGGCGUAAAGCGCACGUAGGCUGCUUUGUAAGUCAGGGGUGAAAUCCCACGGCUCAACCGUGGAACUGCCUUUGAUACUGCUUAGCUUGAAUCCGGGAGAGGGUGGCGGAAUUCCAGGUGUAGGAGUGAAAUCCGUAGAUAUCUGGAGGAACAUCAGUGGCGGAGGCGGCCACCUGGACCGGUAUUGACGCUGAGGUGCGAAAGCGUGGGGAGCAAACAGG